rnacentral:rRNA from 1 species
AGGUAUGCUUAGNNNNNAGCUUGCGUCACAUUAGUUAGUUGGUGGGGUAAAGGCCUACCAAGACUAUGAUGUGUAGCCGGGCUGAGAGGUUGAACGGCCACAUUGGGACUGAGACACGGCCCAAACUCCUACGGGAGGCAGCAGUAGGGAAUUUUCGGCAAUGGAGGAAACUCUGACCGAGCAACGCCGCGUGAACGAUGAAGUAUUUCGGUACGUAAAGUUCUUUUAUUAGGGAAGAAUAAAUGAUGGAAAAAUCAUUCUGACGGUACCUAAUGAAUAAGCCCCGGCUAACUAUGUGCCAGCAGCCGCGGUAAUACAUAGGGGGCAAGCGUUAUCCGGAAUUAUUGGGCGUAAAGGGUGCGUAGGCUGUUAAAUAAGUUUAUGGUCUAAGUGCAAUGCUCAACAUUGUGAUGCUAUAAAAACUGUUUAGCUAGAGUAAGAUAGAGGCAAGUGGAAUUCCAUGUGUAGUGGUAAAAUGCGUAAAUAUAUGGAGGAACACCAGUAGCGAAGGCGGCUUGCUGGGUCUUUACUGACGCUGAGGCACGAAAGCGUGGGGAGCAAACAGGAUUAGAUACCCUGGUAGUCCACGCCGUAAACGAUGAGUACUAAACGUUGGGUAAAACCAGUGUUGAAGUUAACACAUUAAGUACUCCGCCUGAGUAGUACGUACGCAAGUAUGAAACUUAAAGGAAUUGACGGGACUCCGCACAAGCGGUGGAUCAUGUUGUUUAAUUCGAAGGUACCCGAAAAACCUCACCAGGUCUUGACAUGCUUCUGCAAAGCUGUAGAAACACAGUGGAGGUUAUCAGUUGCACAGGUGGUGCAUGGUUGUCGUCAGCUCGUGUCGUGAGAUGUUGGGUUAAGUCCCGCAACGAGCGCAACCCUUAUUGNUAGUUGCCANCACGUAAUGGUGGGGACUUUAGC